rnacentral:rRNA from 1 species
GAUGAACGCUGGCGGUGUGCCUAAUACAUGCAAGUCGAACGAGGUCUUCGGACCUAGUGGCGAACGGGUGAGUAACACGUUGGUACCUACCCUCUAGUGGGGAAUAACUGGCCGAAAGGUCGGCUAAUACCGCAUAAUACCGCAAGGUUAAAGUAGUAAUACGCUAGAGGAGGGGCCUGCGUCCCAUUAGCUUGUUGGUAGUGUAAUGGACUACCAAGGCAACGAUGGGUAGCUGGAUCGAGAGGUUGACCAGCCACACUGGGACUGAGAUACGGCCCAGACUCCUACGGGAGGCAGCAGUAAGGAAUCUUCCACAAUGGGCGAAAGCCUGAUGGAGCAACACCGCGUGCAGGAUGACGGCCUUCGGGUUGUAAACUGCUUUUAUAUGGGAAGAUUAUGACGGUACCAUAUGAAUAAGCACCGGCUAACUACGUGCCAGCCGCCGCAGUAA